rnacentral:rRNA from 1 species
CCUACGGGAGGCAGCAGUGAGGAAUCUUGGUCAAUGGCCGAGAGGCUGAACCAGCCAAGUCGCGUGAGGGAAGACGGCCCUACGGGUUGUAAACCUCUUUUGUCGGGGAGCAAAGCGAGUCACGUGUGACUCAUUGAGAGUACCCGAAGAAAAAGCAUCGGCUAACUCCGUGCCAGCAGCCGCGGUAAUACGGAGGAUGCGAGCGUUCUCCGGAUUUAUUGGGUUUAAAGGGUGCGCAGGCGGAGGUGCAAGUCAGCGGUCAAAUUGCGGGGCUCAACCCCGUACUGCCGUUGAAACUGCAUGCCUUGAGUGCGCGAGAAGUAUGCGGAAUGCGUGGUGUAGCGGUGAAAUGCAUAGAUAUCACGCAGAACGCCGAGUGCGAAGGCAGCAUACCGGCGCGCAACUGACGCUCAUGCACGAAAGCGUGGGUAUCGAACAGGAUUAGAUACCCGGGUAGUC